UAUGAAGGAAAAUUCUGCAAAUUAAAUAAUCUGGAUAUUUAAUAAAAUAAUAUUAUGUAAAUCUUUUAGAAGAUUUAGUUGUUGUUAUUUUAAAAAUUAGUUAAAAGAGAAUAAGAGAUAUACUCUUGGUGGGUUUAAAGAUUAAAAGAAAUAUUAUAUUUAGAGAAAAUCAUUACUAGAUAUUUUAGAUUUUAAAAAGAUUUGGUGGUUGAUGAUAUUUUAAAAAGUAGUUAAGAUAGAAUAAAGAGGAAAUCUUAGUGGUUUUAGAUAUAAACUGAGAGAUUUUAUUUAUAUUAAAAGGAUAGAGAUAGAAUAGAAGAGGAUAAAAAGGAUAAGAGUGAAAAAUGGUUGGCAUUUUGUUACCCUAAAUGCAAAAAACGAAAAUUACAAAUAUAAGGGAGAGAAAAGAUGUUUUCUGGGAGAAAAUAGAGCAGAGAAUGAGGCAUCAAAAAUAGGAGAACCAUCGGUGACGUUCUGAAGCUUUCUUGGUGGUUUUGGAAACAAAAAAUAGUACGACACCAGGUAAGGGGGGAACCAGUUAUAUUUUAACACAUGGUUGAUUUAGGGUUUUGAUAAGUACUUUUAUGUUAUGAGGAAAUAUUUUGUGAUGUGGUAUAAUAUUUAUUCUAUGCUUGUGAAUCAUUGUAAGGGGGUGACUAGAAUUAUCAUGUGUGUUUGGGGUUGGGUGAUGUUGCAGUUACCGUUAUUGUUGUUAUUUCCAUUCGUGUAUAAAUGUAUAUAUAUUGUGAGGUGUGCAUUUCGGUUUGCAUGGGAGUGAGUUGAGAGAGAUACAUCUAAUGCAUAUUAAUAUAAGUAACCCUUGUUAUGUGGAUUUUUGGGUUGUUGUGGGCGGGAGUUUUAAUGAAGCGACUAGAGAUUUGUAUAGUAUACAUGUUGUUUUAGUCGGUAUAUAUAAGUUAAGAGAUGGUAUGAAUAAUUUUUAUAAUUUAAUAUGAGGGAUUAUUAUGUAUGUAAAAUAAAUUAUAAAAGUUGAAUAUUUUUAUGCGUUGUGGUGAUAUUUUAUCGCAGUAAUUUUAUAUGUUUCUGUGGUGACUUAUUAAUGUGGUAAUAUGCUUAUAAGAUGUUGUUGUGGUGUUGUACAUGAGUCUUAUUUUAUAUGGUGUAGUAAAAUCUUGUGUUUGAUGAAUUGAUGUUUAUCAUUGGGAUUUUGAGUGAAAAGUGUUGAGAUUGUGUUUAAAUCGAUGAUUGGUUCUGUGAUACAUAUUAGUGAGGAUGAGUAGUAGUUUGUGAUCGGGGAGUUAAUAUAUAGUAUUGAGACUAUGCAUGAAAGGUGAUGAGCAGGACGUGUUGAACAUUAUGAUGAGGGAGCACUGUAUAUUUUGAUAAUGGUGAGAUAAACUUUAUGAUUGGUGAGCAAUACAUGUUGUUGAGAAUGAGUAUUGAUGUGUGAUGUGGACAUGAAACUAUGUUAUUUCCUUGUACUAUCGUCGGUCAUGUGUGAGCUUUUCAUACUGUGGUACGUUAAGAAUGUGAUGUUGUUGGACUCUCGUUUAAGAGAUAGUGAUUCGAGUGUCACUUCCCUCUGCGCGGGGAGGUGGAUGUCUCGCCCAAAAGACUUCGGCUCGUGUUUAGUAUAGUGCACUGGUGCGUGUAGUGCCAGUGUUUUUACUUGUUAGUCUUUGAGAAGUCGGGGAGAUAGGUCGGAAGUUGCGAUGGAAGACGGGUCGAAUUGCCCUGUUGAGGAACAGGUACCUGUUAGUGAUAACAGGUCAUGACGACACAGUAAAAGGAAACGACAUUGGGUCAUGAAUGGAUUGGUUAUGAUAUUGAUGUUGUGAUGAAAUAUGUUAUAUGUUUAUAUUACUCUGUGAUUAAAAUGAAAUAUGCUUUAUUGUGUGUUAUGAUAUUUCUGGUUGCUCACCCUGAAAGUUGUG
rnacentral:lncRNA from 1 species